rnacentral:tRNA from 1 species
GGGGCUAUAGGGUAGUUUGGUCUAUCCUUUCGGGUUUGGGACCCGACGACCCCGGUUCAAAUCCGGGUAGCCCCA